GGUCCUAUGGUGUAAUGGUUAGUACUUUGGACUUUAAAUCCAGCGAUCCGAGUUCAAAUUUCGGUAGGAUCU
rnacentral:tRNA from 1 species